rnacentral:rRNA from 1 species
AACGCUGGCGGCGUGCCUAAUACAUGCAAGUCGAACGGUCUUUCUAUGGAAGCUUGCUUCCACUGAGAAGAUAGUGGCGAACGGGUGAGUAACACGUGGGUAACCUGCCCAUAAGAGGGGGGAUAACAUCCGGAAACGGGUGCUAAUACCGCAUAGUUUUCUUGGAUCGCAUGAUUGAGAAAGGAAAGACGGCCUUUGUGCUGUCGCUUAUGGAUGGACCCGCGGCGUAUUAGUUAGUUGGUGAGGUAACGGCUCACCAAGACGAUGAUACGUAGCCGACCUGAGAGGGUGAUCGGCCACAUUGGGACUGAGACACGGCCCAAACUCCUACGGGAGGCAGCAGUAGGGAAUCUUCCGCAAUGGACGAAAGUCUGACGGAGCAACGCCGCGUGAGUGAAGAAGGGGUUUUCGGAUCGUAAAACUCUGUUGUCAGAGAAGAACAAGUUGGAGAGUAACUGCUCCAGCCUUGACGGUAUCUGACCAGAAAGCCACGGCUAACUACGUGCCAGCAGCCGC